GCUCAGUAGCUCACUUCGUUCACACUUUAUAGAUUGAGUGGAGAAAAGGGAUUUGGGGCUUAGAGUUAGGGCUAGGGUUUCAUUUGUGUGAACUGUGAAGUUUCUCUACGCUCUGCUGAUCUACGCUGCAGGCCUGCAGGUCUCCAUCGGACCACCUCUCGGAUUCGGUGAAUCCCCUCUUCGAGUCUUUGGCAGCUCGGCUCUCCAAGCUCUUGCUUCUCGGUCCUCUCCUUUGGACCUUCAGUCUCCUGGUUUCAAAAAUCCCUCCUUGCCGUCCUCGGCUCUUCCCUCGCAUGGGCGUGGCGAUGACUCUUCAGUCUUCACUCAGUGACUCAGCGUCUUAGCCACUCCACUCGGCACUCAGAUAUUAAAGGGAAAAUAAGCAAUGACUUGCCUAUAGAGGUGGUGGUGCCAAACUUGGAGGAUGCAAUAAUGACACAAGCUAAUUCCCAACAUUAGCAUUCAAAUCCCAGCAUGACAAGUGAGCGUGCUACCAAUCCUCCUACUCAAUCUAAUCAAAAAAUGAGGAAGAGAAUGAGACCAAGAUCUGAAGUGUGGGAUCACUUCACUAAAUUUGUGAUGAAGUCUGGUGAAAUUAAGGAGUUGUCAAAGUUUGCAUUGGAGUCCACAAUUGGUGAAUAAGCCAAACAAAGAAAGACAUAGGGUGAAAUAAGCACAGGGUCAAGAAGCCAUGAAAGUGGGCGUUUCUAAUAUAAGAAGCCAUGAAAUUGUAGCUGUCACUUGUCAACUGAUGUAUGAAGCAUUGAAGCCCUAGUUUUUAUUUUUAUUUUUCAGAAACAAUUUAUAUUUCAUAUUUGUUUUUUAUUUUUAUUUUGCACAAUCUGUUUACAUUGGUCUGUAAUAUAAUAUUAGGGACUUUCAAAUCUUGAAGUCAAAUCUAAGUAGACAUUGCAGACCUUUAAAUUUCAUGU